CCAGUGUGUCUCCAUGUUUUUUAUUUGUUCUGUUAAGUUGUUCCUCUGUGUCUCCAGCUCCUGGUUUUGUGUUGUCAGGUUCUGGACGUCUGCAGUCAGGUUUGUGAUCUUACUUUCUAAGACAGUAUAGUUUUGUGUCAGGUUGCCCAACUGGACUGUCAGAUUGUUGUUGUCCCUCCUCAAGUUUUCAUUGUCUAAGCUGAGUUUGUUGUUGAGGUUUGUCAGGUUGCGAUUGGCAGCCAUCAGCUCACUUUCAUCACUCUGAUGACUUAAUGUAGCAACUGCAAAAUG